CUGGCGGUGGGACAAUGUCAGGCGGGGAGUUUGACUGGGGCGGUCGCCUCCGAAAGGGUAUCGGAGGCGCUCAAAGGUUCCCUCAGGAUGGUUGGAAACCAUCCAAAGAGUGCAAAGGCAUAAGGGAGCUUGACUGCGAGACCGACGGGUCGAGCAGGUAGGAAACUAGGACUUAGUGAUCCGGUGGUAUAAAGUGGGAUUGCCAUCGCUCAACGGAUAAAAGCUACCCUGGGGAUAACAGGCUUAUCACUCCCAAGAGUUCACAUCGACGGAGUGGUUUGGCACCUCGAUGUCGGCUCAUCGCAUCCUGGGGCUGUAGCAGGUCCCAAGGGUUGGGCUGUUCGCCCAUUAAAGCGGUACGCGAGCUGGGUUCAGAACGUCGUGAGACAGUUCGGUCCCUAUCCGGCGUGGGCGCAGGAUAUUUGAGAGGAGCUGUCCUUAGUACGAGAGGACCGGGAUGGACCGACCACUGGUGUAUCUGUUAGGUAUCAGGCCUAUGGCAGAGUAGCCAAGUCGGGACGGGAUAAACGCUGAAGGCAUCUAAGCGUGAAGCCCCCCUCAAGAUGAGAUAUCCCAUUCUGUUAAAGAAGUAAGACCCCUUGAAGACGACGAGGUAGAUAGGGCAGAGGUGGAAGUGCGGUAACGUAUGGAGCUGACUGUCACUAAUCGGUCGAGGGCUUGACCAG
rnacentral:ncRNA from 1 species